rnacentral:misc_RNA from 1 species
GUAGGUGAACCUGCGGAAGGAUCAUUAAUGAAUUUUUCUGGCGGACCGGGUCUUGGGCUCGGCUUCGCGAAAGAUUUUUGUAUUUAAAACUUUUCCACCCGUGAAAAAAAAAAAUUGUAAAUUGUAAAAUAAAAAAAAAAAGAUCACUUUCAACAACGGAUCUCUUGGCUCUC